rnacentral:lncRNA from 1 species
UUAUAACACUCUUAUCUCUCACCACCGUCCGCCGCCACCAACCUCCUGUUGAAAAUCGCCCAUGGUGGCGGCGAGUCUCCAAACUCAACCAAAUCUUGACCAUAUAAUCCUCGUUGCCUCCUCAUCCCAAAUCCACCAUCAGAUCUCCCAAAAGCCCCCACCAAAUUCGGCUAGCUUUGGAUCUAAAAAUGGAAGAGAGAAGUAUUGUUUUCCAAAAUGAUUAAGACUGAAGCUAGUAUUGUCCGUUUGUUCUCAAGAAAAAUAGGCGGAUAAUAUCAAUUUUAGUUUAAAUCGGAGAUUGCCGGAGGUCUAUCCCAAGCUUGGCCAAUCUUUUAGGUAUCUUUGUGUAUUUUCUUUGUUUCC